rnacentral:rRNA from 1 species
UGUGGUUUAAUUCGACGCAACGCGAAGAACCUUACCUGGGCUCGAAAUGCUACGGACCAGCUUAUGAAAGUUUGCCUUCCCGCAAGGGACCGUAGUAUAGGUGCUGCAUGGCUGUCGUCAGCUCGUGUCGUGAGAUGUUGGGUUAAGUCCCGCAACGAGCGCAACCCUUGUCCUGUGUUGCCAUACCGAAAGGUGGAACUCGCAGGAGACCGCCAGGGAUAGCCUGGAGGAAGGUGGGGAUGACGUCAAGUCCUCAUGGCCUUUAUGUCCAGGGCUACACACGUGCUACAAUGGACGGUACAAAGGGCUGCCAACCCGCGAGGGGGAGCUAAUCCCAAAAAACCGUUCUCAGUUCGGAUUGCAGGCUGCAACUCGCCUGCAUGAAGCUGGAAUCGCUAGUAAUGGCGGAUCAGAACGCCGCCGUGAAUACGUUCCCGGGCCUUGU